UGACCUCAGAUCAGGUAGG
rnacentral:rRNA from 2 species